UGCUAGGGAGAAGAUGCAUUUCACUCCUCCGCUGAAGAGGGCCUGCUGUACUGGGAUCAAAGUGGGAAUUACACUGAACACUUCUAGAAAGCAGGUCCUGGAAUUUCCUUCCUGAAGAAUUUUCAAAUUUUGGGUUGUUGGCCAUACAAAGGCAUAAAAAGUGAAAAUCCUUCAUACAACUUAAUUCCUGGCACUGCUCAGUAAUAGUGAUGACUGCUGUAUUGACAGAGCUUUGGUGGUGGUAAUAGAUUGGAUAUAACUCUUCAAAGAAAGUGGAAGAAACUGAUUUGAGACAGCCACAAUCUAGAAAAUAUGUUUUAGGGAACAAGCUAGCACAAGACUAGAUGCACUAAAAUGGCUUUCCUAUCUUUUACUUUUCUGAUUCUGUGACACUGUACUGUGUGCUGUUAACCUAUUAAAAUAAACUUUGAGUGCUCACCAUCGA